rnacentral:rRNA from 1 species
AUUGAACGCUGGCGGCAUGCCUUACACAUGCAAGUCGAACGGCAGCGGGGACUUCGGUCCGCCGGCGAGUGGCGAACGGGUGAGUAAUGUAUCGGAACGUACCUUUCAGUGGGGGAUAACGUAGCGAAAGUUACGCUAAUACCGCAUAUUCUCGGAGGCGGAAAGCAGGGGACCUUCGGUCCUUGCGCUGAUGGAGCGGCCGAUAUCAGAGUAGCUAGUUGGUGGGGUAAAGGCUCACCAAGGCUACGAUCUGUAGCGGGUCUGAGAGGAUGAUCCGCCACACUGGGACUGAGACACGGCCCAGACUCCUACGGGAGGCAGCAGUGGGGAAUUUUGGACGAUGGGCGAAAGCCUGAUCCAGCCAUGCCGCGUGAGUGAAGAAGGCCUUCGGGUUGUAAAGCUCUUUCGGACGGGAAGAAAUCAUGAGGGCUAAUAUCCCUUGUGGAUGACGGUACCGUAAUAAGAAGCACCGGCUAACUACGUGCCAGCAGCCGCGGUAA